GGACGCUUAGCUCAGUUGGGAGAGCACUUCCUUGACGUGGAAGGGGUCAGGGGUUCGAGUCCCUUAGCGUCCACCA
rnacentral:tRNA from 3 species